GUGGGGAAUAUUGGACAAUGGGCGAAAGCCUGAUCCAGCCAUGCCGCGUGAGUGAUGAAGGCCUUAGGGUUGUAAAGCUCUUUCAGUAGGGAAGAUAAUGACGGUACCUACAGAAGAAGCCCCGGCUAACUUCGUGCCAGCAGCCGCGGUAAUACGAAGGGGGCUAGCGUUGUUCGGAUUUACUGGGCGUAAAGCGCACGUAGGCGGAUCGUUAAGUCGGGGGUGAAAUCCUGGAGCUCAACUCCAGAACUGCCUUCGAUACUGGCGAUCUUGAGUCCGGAAGAGGUGAGUGGAACUCCUAGUGUAGAGGUGGAAUUCGUAGAUAUUAGGAAGAACACCAGUGGCGAAGGCGGCUCACUGGUCCGGUACUGACGCUGAGGUGCGAAAGCGUGGGGAGCAAACAGGAUUAGAUACCCGUGUAGUCC
rnacentral:rRNA from 1 species